CACGUAGGGCGCAAGCGUUGUCCGGAAUUAUUGGGCGUAAAGAGCUCGUAGGCGGUCUGUUACGUCUGCUGUGAAAACCCGGGGCUUAACCCUGGGCUUGCAGUGGAUACGGGCAGACUAGAGGCAGGUAGGGGAGAAUGGAAUUCCCGGUGUAGCGGUGAAAUGCGCAGAUAUCGGGAGGAACACCAAUGGCGAAGGCAGCUCGCUGGGACGUGACUGACGCUGAGGCGCGAAGGUCAGGGGAGCAAAGCGGGG
rnacentral:rRNA from 1 species